rnacentral:rRNA from 1 species
AGUGGGGAAUCUUGCGCAAUGCGCGAAAGCGUGACGCAGCAACGCCGCGUGGGGGAAGAAGGCCUUCGGGUUGUAAACCCCUUUCAGGAGGGACGAAGCCAGGGCGGUGAAUAGCCGACCCUGGUGACGGUACCUCCAGAAGAAGCCCCGGCUAACUACGUGCCAGCAGCCGCGGUAAUACGUAGGGGGCAAGCGUUGUCCGGAAUCAUUGGGCGUAAAGCGCGUGUAGGCGGUCCGGUAAGUCGGUUGUGAAAGUCCAGGGCUCAACCCUGGGAUGCCGACCGAUACUGUCGGACUAGAGUUCGGAAGAGGCGAGUGGAAUUCCCGGUGUAGCGGUGAAAUGCGCAGAUAUCGGGAGGAACACCAAUGGCGAAGGCAGCUCGCUGGGACGUUACUGACGCUGAGACGCGAAAGCGUGGGGAGCAAA